GCACAAGCGGUGGAUGAUGUGGUUUAAUUCGAUGCAACGCGAAAACCUUACCCACCUUUGACAUGGCAGGAAUCCUAAAGAGAUUUGGGAGUGCUCGAAAGAGAACCUGCACACAGGUGCUGCAUGGCUGUCGUCAGCUCGUGUCGUGAGAUGUUGGGUUAAGUCCCGCAACGAGCGCAACCCUUGCCAUUAGUUGCUACGAAAGGGCACUCUAAUGGGACUGCCGGUGACAAACCGGAGGAAGGUGGGGAUGACGUCAAGUCCUCAUGGCCCUUAUAGGUGGGGCUACACACGUCAUACAAUGGCCGGUACAGAGGGUAGCCAACCCGCGAGGGGGAGCCAAUCCCACAAAGCCGGUCGUAGUCCGGAUCGCAGUCUGCAACUCGACUGCGUGAAGUCGGAAUCGCUAGUAAUCGCGGAUCAGCGUGUCGCGGUGAAUACGUUCCCGGGUCUU
rnacentral:rRNA from 1 species